AGGUGGGUUCCUGAUUGCCAAAACUUGAAUUAUAUUCCCUUGUUAUCCAGGCGGGCGCUUAAUUGCCAAAACUUAAAAUGUAUUCCCUUCUUAUCCAGGUGGGCGCCUAAUAUCCAAAACUUGAAUUGUAUUCCCUUGUUAUCCAGGUGGGCGCCUGAUUUCCAAAACUUGAACUGUAUUCCCUUAUUCUCCAGGUGGGCGCCUGAUUUCCAAAACUUGAAUUGUAUUCCCUUAUUAUCCAGUGGGUGCCUGAUUGCCAAAAACUUGAAUUGUAUUCCUUUGUUAUUCAGGUGGGCGCCUGAUUGCCAAAAACUUGAAUUGUAUUCCAUUGUUAUCCAGGUGGGUGCCUGAUUUCCCAAAACUUGAAAUGUAUUCCCUUGUUAUCCAGGUGGGUGCCUGAUUUCCAAAACUUGAAUUGUAUUCCCUUGUUAUCCAAGUGGGCACCUGAUUUCCAAAACUUGAAUUGUAUUCCCUUGUUAUCCAAGUGGGUGCCUGAUUUCCAAAACAUGAAAUGUAUUCCCUUGUUAUCGAGGUGGGCGCCUGCUAUUACAACAAAACAGACGAAACGAAAGAAAUUUUUCUGCCCCAGUUUGGAACCUGGGCACAUCUGUGAGUGUUAAUCGAAUCAUGUUACUUAAAAGAGCUCUAAGAAUUUAAAAGUUAAAUCCCAUUAUCCAGGAGGGCCCUAAAAACUUCAAAUUAAAUCUCAUAUUAAGAGUGACAACUUUAAAGCUAAAUUAUAUUUCCUAAAGGUAGAACUUACGCUAAAUCUUGUUAUCUAGGAAUGUCUUGAAAUUUAACUAGGUCCCAUUAUCCAGGAGGGUCCUGAGAAUUUUAAAUCAAAUCCCAUUAUCCAGGAAGGUCCUGAGAACUUUUAGAAUUAAAUCUCAUUUUCCAUGAGGGUCCUGAAUUUUUUUAAUUGAAUCUCAUUAUCUAGAAGGGUCCUGAGAACUUUUAAAAAUUAAAUCCCAUUAUCUAGGAGGGUUCUGAGAACUUUUAAAAAUUAAAUCUCAUUAUCUAAGAGGGUCCUGAAAACUUAAAAACUAAAUCCAAUUAUCCAGGAGGGUCCUGAAAAUUUUAAAUUAAAUCCCGUUAUCCAGGAGGGUCCUGAAAACUUAAAAACUAAAUGCUAUUAUCCAGGAGGGUCCUGAAAACUUUUAAAAAUUAAAUCCCGUUAUCCAGAAGGGUCCUGAGAAGUUUUAAAAAUUAAAUCUCAUUAUCUAGGGGGGUCCUGAAAACUUAAAAUUAAAUCUCAUUAUCCAGGAAGGCCCUGAAAGCUGAGAAUGAACUUACCCGAGCCAUGCACUCUUCUUGGAGGAUUCUGAAUAGAAAUUCUUGCCCCUGAACCAUGACUUCUUCAUGGGAGGUCCCUGUGGAUUAACAAAUUUUCUUACCCCUGUUUCAGACAAAUAAAAUCUUGUUAGUUUGAAAACGUGGUGGUUAGUUUGUGGCCUUGACCUUGAGAGCAGCUGCUUCUACACUUGCCAAAAUAACUUUGAUUUCAACUUGGACGACCUUGACUAUUAUCGACUGCCCAUUUUCUUUCAACCUUUAUCAUAGAAAACACCUCUGCUCCAUUCCUUCCCAAUAUCCUCUAUCUGUUGCAUCUUGCUCAUGGAUCGACAUUUACCACACCUUUGCAUUUCACAUGAAUCCCAAUAUACUAAAUAUAAAAGCAAUUUUAAUUUAAUAAAGCAAAAUUACCUCAAAUGAUUUUUUUUAUUCACUGAAUUAAUAUUCUAAAGAAAACUUCUAACGGAAAUAUAAAACGCAACAUUUCCUUUUUUGGAUUUUUGAUUUAUAUCACGCUUUUUCAAAUACAAAAUAGAAAGUACAAUAAUAAAAAAAACUCGACAUUACUGUACAAAACUAAAACCUAAAAAAUAAAAAGAAAGAUCUUCUUAAGCAACUCCUGAAUAAGCGAUCCGACUGGAUGGUCACGGGGUGUCUGUCAUGCUCAAACCUCUGUAAGUAGAUCCACAACUGUAUGGAAAAAAAACUCAAACCAACACUAGAUGAGACAAUAACACUCCUUAUUGGACACAUGCAAGACAUAAUUGAGGCUAUUUUUGCAAAAUGAAUUAUUUGGCCAAAAGGUGACUAGAAGUGCAAAAUUUGGCUAUGACCCCGUAAAGCCAAGAACCUAAGAUUUACUAGGAAGAAUGGACCCUAUGUGAGUUGCCUACGUAUCACGCCCCGAAAGACGAGAAUCAGGUAUGCGUAGUCCGGGCAAAUUGGAUACGGGCGAGAAUUAAAAAAACUACUAAUUUAGAGAAAAUAUGUUUUUUUUUGUGUUUUUUUUUAAAAAAAAAUGAUGAAACAUGUAAACUCUUUUUGGAUUUUCUUUUCUUUUCCUUUUUUUCUGAAUUUCUGAAUUUCGGAGAAUGAUGAAAAUGUGCAAAAUCUCUUUCUUUCUUUUUUUGAAUUUUCAGGCUCUUUUUUUCNN
rnacentral:lncRNA from 1 species